ACGAACGCUGGCGGCGUGGAUUAGGCAUGCAAGUCGGACGGUAGGGCUUUAUCGUAAGAUUAGAGUUUGAGAGUGGCGAACGGGUGAGUAACACGUAGGAAUCUACCCGUUAAGACGGGGACAACCCAGGGGAAACUUGGGCUAAUACCGGAUGAGAGUGCGAGAGAUUGCAUUUAAAAGGAUGGCGAAAGUUGUCGCUUAGGGAUGAGCCUGCGGUCUAUUAGUUAGUUGGUGAGGUAAGAGCUCACCAAGGCGAUGAUAGAUAGGCGGCCUUAACGGGUGGUCGCCCACACUGGGAUUGAGAUACGGCCCAGACUCCUACGGGAGGCAGCAGUCGAGAAUAGUCUACAAUGGCCGGAAGGCUGAUAGUGCGACGCCGCGUGAACGAGGGAGCCCUUCGGGGUGUAAAGUUCUUUUCUAUACGAGCAGUGCUAUAUAUAUGGAUAGUAUAUAUAGAGGGAUAGUAGUAUAGGAAUAAGCAACGGCUAACUCCGUG
rnacentral:rRNA from 1 species